rnacentral:rRNA from 1 species
UACGUAGGGGCAAGCGUUGUCCGGAAUCAUUGGGCGUAAAAGAGCGUGUAGGCGGUCCGAUAAGUCCGCUCUGAAAGCCCGGGGCUCAACCCCGGGAGGCGGGCGGAUACUGUCGGGCUAGAGUCCGGAAGAGGCAAGUGGAAUUCCUGGUGUAGCGGUGAAAUGCGCAGAUAUCAGGAGGAACACCGAUGGCGAAGGCAGCUUCUGGGACGGUACUGACACUGAGGAGCGAAAUGCGUGGGG